rnacentral:rRNA from 1 species
GAUCCUACGGGACGCAGCAGUGGGGGAUAUUGCACAAUGGGGGGGACCCUGAUGCAGCGACGCCGCGUGGGUGAAGAAGUAUUUCGGUACGUAAAGCCCUAUCGGCAGGGAAGAAAUUGGACGGUACCUGACUAAGAAGCCCCGGCUAACUACGUGCCAGCAGCCGCGGUAAUACGUAGGGGGCAAGCGUUAUCCGGAUCCACUGGGUGUAAAGGGAGCGUAGACAGCCAUGCAAGCCUGGAGUGAAAGCCCGGGGCCCAACCCCGGGACUGCUCUGGGAACUGUGCGGCUGGAGUGCGGGCAGG